CCCCGUUCCGCCCGCCCUCCGGGCGCGUCUUUUCCGGGCUCGCGCCGCGCCCCGCCUCCGCUGGCAGUUCGGGUUGCGCGCGCGCCGCUGCGGCUUUUUUUUCCACUGGCCUCCGCGGCGCGCCCCUCCUUGCAAGGCAGCUCCAGAGCUAGCGGGCACGCGGGCUCCUCUCCGUGAGCUUCCUUCCCCUUAAGGCCGGACCGAGUGGCGGAGACGUGGUGGCUGGACGAGGCAGAACCUUAGACAGGGUUUCUCUGUGUAGCUUUGGAGCCUAUCCUGGCACUCGAAGGUCUGAUACUGAUACUGAUACAGGUCUGAUACUGUAGACCUGGUCAAUAUCUGGAAGGUAGGACUUAGCAUCUUUUUUUUUGAGACAAGGUUUCUCUGUGGCUUUGGAGGCUGUCCUCUUGUAGACCAGGAUUGUCUCGAACUCACAAAGAUCCACCUGCCUCUGCCUCCCGAGUGCUGGGAUUAAAGGUGUGCACCACCAAUGCCCUGCCUUUUUUUGUAGUAUUGAAUUUCAACUUCCAAAUUUUUCCUUUUGGUGCUGGCAUUCACCAAUUUGUGGAUAUGGGCAGUGCCUGUGCGGUCCAGAAGAGGACAUCGUCAGAUCCCCGGCAACUGUAGUCACAGGCAGUUAUAAACCACUCAAUGUGGGUGCUAGGAACUGAACUCAGGCCCUCUGAAAGAGCAGUAAGAACUUUUAGCCACCACUGGACUGUCUCUUCAGCUCCCACGUAUACAUUUCUUAUUUUAUGGAAAAUUUGGAAGGCAUGAAAUUACAAAAGCAUACAAAUAUUAAAACAGCUAGAUUUAAUAUUUGGCAUAAAUUUUGUGCAUAUGUAAAACUCAAACAUGUAUUCCAUAAUGGGGCCAUAAUUGGUUUGGAGAUCAAUAUUUUAAAGCUGUGUUCCAGUAUAGGGGGAUUUUUUUAUUCACAGCAAUUAUUAGAGGAUUAUCUAUUUCCCUAAUUGUGGUAACCCAUUUUUGUGGGCCUUUAGUAGGAUUCAGCCAACUUGCCAGGUUUGUACUUGAGAAGGUGUGUAUGGAUUGAGAAAGGGCAGGUAAAGAUGAAAAGAAGACAGAGACAAAGGAUAGAGUCAGGAGGGAAAUCCAGUGAGUACUGAGUACCCCAAGUUUAUUCUUCAAUAUUAAGUACCCUAACUAAAAGGGGGAACACGGCAGAAGACUUUGAUUAUCAUGUAUAAGGAACAAACAUACUUCUUCACUUAAUCCUCCAAGCAUUUGGUAACCACACCUGUUAUCCGACCUUGAGGGUGAAGAGUAAACACACCUGAGCCCAAGUCUGUUAUUUAGUUAAGAUGUCGCUACCUAGACCAAAACAUCUUGGAGUAGCCUCACCUUCUUUUGGCUUGCUAAGGACAGUUUUAAACUCUCUAAUCUUGAGGCUAGAUGAAGAGGAGCCAUCUUUAUGGGCCCCGACAGAGGAUAAGGUGCAUAAAACACAAUUAUUGCUUAGGAAAUUGUUUGGAAUUGGCCCAGCUUUAAUUUACUUUUUAGGUUUGAACACAAUGUGCCGAUUUCCUUGCUAUUUUCCACUCAUCUCUAAAACAUCCUAUUUUCAACUUGAGACAUUAAGUACAGGAGAGCAGCUCAUGCCUGGAGCAUUUCCAACAGAUGCUAUCGCAAGUUUAGUGUUUACUUGACUUUUCGAAGAAUGUUUAAAAAUGAUUGGUUAACUGACUAAUUUACUUACAGAGAGGACCCAAACCAAAACACUCUAAUGGUUCAUUUUUUUGAAGUCUCUUCCCUAGUAUGAGGUUAUCUGAAGUUUAACAACACUUCCAUAUGUUUGUGACACUUUGGUAUCUCCUUUGGAAAAAUUCAUUUGUUAACUAACUGUCUCAUUAGCUCCAUGGAUGUGGUUUUUCUCCCUUGUGUUUGGUGAAUUAGAAUUUCUCAGUUCUUCCAUAAUCAUCACUGUAUUUUUCCAUACUACUGGGUUAUUAUUCUGUAGAAACAAACUAUAUUCUAUGCUUUCCCUGUGUGUGAAAAGUUUGCUGAGAUAAUAUAUUUCAACUUCCUUAUUGCCACUGUUCAGCUGCAGCCUGAGUUCAGGUCCUGAGGCAGGGAAGGGAUGUUGGCAUGAAGAAAUGAACUGUCCAACUACUAUUUAUAGAGUUUCACACAAGUGCCCAGCCCCAAAUAGCUCUAGCCAUCUUGAUGUAUACAUGGGAAGCAAGCAUAUUUUUCCAUGUUAACAAGUUUUUCCUAUCAUCCAACAUUAACCUACAAAAAACCGAAUAUGUCAAAUAUUUCCCCAACUUCUAUAUCAAAACAUCUAUAAACCAAAACCCAACACUUAUUUUGCUAGCUUGGCCAAAUAUCCAUUCAGG
ensembl:lncRNA